GCUAACGGCAGUUGCGUCAUGAAAAUGACAGGACGGGUCGGGGUUGGCAUCGAAAGGCCAACAGGUAGUGCAGCGGAAGGUAAGAAAACCGUCACGCGAAACUAAGUCGGGAAAACCGAAUGAUACG
rnacentral:ncRNA from 1 species